CUACACAUGCAGUCGAGGGGCAGCGGGGAAAAGCUUGCUUUUCCGCCGGCGACCGGCGCACGGGUGCGUAACGCGUAUGCAAUCUGCCUUUUGCUACUGGAUAGCCCAGAGAAAUUUGGAUUAAUACAGUAUGGUACCGUAUUGCCGCAUGGUAUUUACGGUUAAAGGUCACGGCAAAAGAUGAGCAUGCGUCCUAUUAGCUAGAUGGAGUGGUAACGGCACCCCAUGGCGACGAUAGGUAGGGGCCCUGAGAGGGGGAUCCCCCACACUGGUACUGAGACACGGACCAGACUCCUACGGGAGGCAGCAGUGAGGAAUAUUGGACAAUGGGCGGAAGCCUGAUCCAGCCAUGCCGCGUGCAGGAAGACUGCCCUAUGGGUUGUAAACUGCUUUUAUACGGGAAGAAACCGCUCUACGUGUAGAGCUCUGACGGUACCGUAAGAAUAAGGAUCGGCUAACUCCGUGCCAGCAGCCGCGGUAAUACGGAGGAUCCAAGCGUUAUCCGGAAUCAUUGGGUUUAAAGGGUCCGUAGGUGGACGAUUAAGUCAGAGGUGAAAGUCUGCGGCUCAACCGUAGAAUUGCCUUUGAUACUGGUUGUCUUGAAUCAUUGUGAAGUGGUUAGAAUAUGUAGUGUAGCGGUGAAAUGCAUAGAUAUUACAUAGAAUACCGAUUGCGAAAGGCAGAUCACUAACAAUGUAUUGACACUGAUGGACGAAAGCGUGGUAGCGAACGGGAUUAGAUACCCCGGG
rnacentral:rRNA from 1 species